AACGAACGCUGGCGGCAUGCCUAACACAUGCAAGUCGAACGCGUGUAGCAAUACACGAGUGGCGGACGGGUGAGUAACGCGUGGGAACCUGCCCAGUGGUAGGGAAUAACUGCGGGAAACUGCAGCUAAUACCCUAUACGCCCUUUGGGGGAAAGAUUCAUCGCCAUUGGAGGGGCCCGCGUCGGAUUAGCUAGUUGGCGGGGUAACGGCCCACCAAGGCAACGAUCCGUAGCUGGUCNGAGAGGAUGAUCAGCCACACUGGGACUGAGAUACGGCCCAGACUCCUACGGGAGGCAGCAGUGGGGAAUAUUGGACAAUGGGGGAAACCCUGAUCCAGCAAUGCCGCGUGAGUGAAGAAGGCCUUCGGUUG
rnacentral:rRNA from 1 species